rnacentral:rRNA from 1 species
CGUGGAUCGAUUUGUCUGGUUUAUUCCGAUAACGAGCGAGACUCUAGCCUACUAAAUAGUAACGGAAUUAUUUACUGUUCCGCUUGCUUCUUAGAGGGAUUUUCGGUGUUUAGCCGCACGAGAUUGAGCAAUAACAGGUCUGUGAUGCCCUUAGAUGUCCGGGGCUGCACGCGCGCUACACUGGCGAAAUCAGCGUGCUAUUCCAUUCUCGAAAGGGAUUGGUAAACCCAUGAAAAUUUGCCGUGCUUGGGAUCGGAAAUUGCAAUUAUUUUCCGUGAACGAGGAAUUCCAAGUAAGUGCGAGUCAUCAACUCGCUCUGAAUACGUCCCUGCCCUUUGUAC